GUUAUCUCAUGAUUUAAUAGGUAAAUGGGCCUUUUCCAACUAAUCAAGAAGUGUUUACCAAUCCUGAUACCCGAACUAUUUACUUACAAGUGCGGGUUUUAUAAGUCACUAAUGCUGUCAACGUAUGUGAUGACAUGUCUACACAGUAAUGGUCCUCACUCAUGGUUUUCCAGAUGUGCUUUUUUCCUCAAAUAUGAGUUUUUGCCACUGGGUUUUUUGAACUGGCCCCAGAUCACCGGGUGGACUGGUUCAUGUAUUGACCCAAGGCUCAAGCUACAGAUAACAUGAUGUUCAGUCUGUUUGAAAAUGGUUAACAUGUCAGCUGUUUGAAAUAUUUAACUUGUAUGCUCAAAAGAUGUAUUCAACAGAUAAUUGAAAAAGCUGAAAAUUGACAGCUCAAACUCCUCUUAAAGGGAAAACCUAUGGCACAGAGCAAAUGUGGGAAAUCGAGGUGAAGAAAUAACGAAAGUCCCGCAGACGUUAUUAGCACGUCUGAAUAUACCUCCUUUCAUUUCUCUGGCGCAGGCUUCCCAUGGAUAUUUUCCGUAAGGUAGAUCAUGAUAUGAUCUAAGAGGGGAAUUGUAGAUAUGAAUAUCCAUUUUACUAUCUACCCAAGCUGUUCAUAUAAGGGGUAAUUUGAACCAAGAAUAAAUUUGGAAUUGUAUCUCCGAUUCUUGGAAAUAAAU